UAGGGAAUCUUCGGCAAUGGGGGCAACCCUGACCGAGCAACGCCGCGUGAGUGAAGAAGGUUUUCGGAUCGUAAAGCUCUGUUGUAAGUCAAGAACGAGUGUGAGAGUGGAAAGUUCACACUGUGACGGUAGCUUACCAGAAAGGGACGGCUAACUACGUGCCAGCAGCCGCGGUAAUACGUAGGUCCCGAGCGUUGUCCGGAUUUAUUGGGCGUAAAGCGAGCGCAGGCGGUUUGAUAAGUCUGAAGUUAAAGGCUGUGGCUCAACCAUAGUUCGCUUUGGAAACUGUCAAACUUGAGUGCAGAAGGGGAGAGUGGAAUUCCAUGUGUAGCGGUGAAAUGCGUAGAUAUAUGGAGGAACACCGGUGGCGAAAGCGGCUCUCUGGUCUGUAACUGACGCUGAGGCUCGAAAGCGUGGGGAGCGAACAGGAUUAGAUACCCUGGUAGUCCACGCCGUAAACAAUGAGUGCUAGGUGUUGGAUCCUUUCCGGGAUUCAGUGCCGCAGCUAACGCAUUAAGCACUCCGCCUGGGGAGUACGACCGCAAGGUU
rnacentral:rRNA from 1 species